rnacentral:rRNA from 1 species
GAGUUUGAUCCUGGCUCAGGAUGAACGCUAGCGGCAGGCUUAACACAUGCAAGUCGAGGGGUAACAGGAAGUGCUUGCACUUUGCUGACGACCGGCGCACGGGUGCGUAACGCGUAUACAAUCUACCUUAUACAGGAGGAUAGCCUUUAGAAAUGAAGAUUAAUACUCCAUAGUCUAUUAAUAUAGCAUUAUAUAAAUAGUAAAGCUUCGGUGGUAUAAGAUGAGUAUGCGUCCUAUUAGUUAGUUGGUAAGGUAACGGCUUACCAAGACAACGAUAGGUAGGGGCCCUGAGAGGGGGAUCCCCCACACUGGUACUGAGACACGGACCAGACUCCUACGGGAGGCAGCAGUGAGGAAUAUUGGACAAUGGAGGCAACUCUGAUCCAGCCAUGCCGCGUGCAGGAAGACGGACCUACGGGUUGUAAACUGCUUUUAUAUAGGAAGAAAACAUAGUACGUGUACUAGCUUGACGGUACUAUAAGAAUAAGGACCGGCUAACUCCGUGCCAGCAGCCGCGGUAAUACGGAGGGUCCGAGCGUUAUCCGGAAUCAUUCGGUUUAAAGGGUCCGCAGGCGGUCAAUUAAGUCAGAGGUGAAAUACCACAGCUCAACUAUGGAACUGCCUUUGAUACUGGUUGACUUGAUUCAUAUGGAAGUAGAUAGAAUGUGUAGUGUAGCGGUGAAAUGCAUAGAUAUUACACAGAAUACCGAUUGCGAAGGCAGUCUACUACGUAUGUACUGACGCUGAGGGACGAAAGCGCGGGGAGCGAACAGGAUUAGAUACCCUGGUAGUCCACGCCGUAAACGAUGGAUACUAGUUGUUGGGCAUUAGCUCAUUAGCUCCGUGACUAAGCGAAAGUGAUAAGUAUCCCACCUGGGGAGUACGGUCGCAAGACUGAAACUCAAAGGAAUUGACGGGGGCCCGCACAAGCGGUGGAGCAUGUGGUUUAAUUCGAUGAUACGCGAGGAACCUUACCAGGGCUUAAAUGUAGUCUUACAGCUUUAGAGAUAGAGUUUUCUUCGGACAGAUUACAAGGUGCUGCAUGGUUGUCGUCAGCUCGUGCCGUGAGGUGUCAGGUUAAGUCCUAUAACGAGCGCAACCCCUGUCGUUAGUUGCCAGCAUGUAAAGAUGGGGACUCUAACGGGACUGCCGGUGUAAACCGCGAGGAAGGUGGGGAUGACGUCAAAUCAGCACGGCCCUUAUGUCCAGGGCUACACACGUGCUACAAUGGCCGGUACAAUGGGCAGCUACUUGGUGACAAGGUGCUAAUCUAUAAACGUCGGUCUCAGUUCGGAUCGGAGUCUGCAACUCGACUCCGUGAAGUUGGAUUCGCUAGUAAUCGGAUAUCAGCCAUGAUCCGGUGAAUACGUUCCCGGGCCUUGUACACACCGCCCGUCAAGCCAUGGAAGCUGGGGGUACCUGAAGUCGGUGACCGUAAGGAGCUGCCUAGGGUAAAACUAGUAACUGGGGCUAAGUCGUAACAAGGUAACC